GUGCCCUUGGUGUAUGGCAACACACGUCUUAUGUCUCCUGGGUCGGCACAGCAGAAUUCAAGACGAACCCGGGGUUCGAGUCCCCGAGGGUGCA